GAUGAACGCUGGCGGCGUGCCUAAUACAUGCAAGUCGAGCGAACAGACGAGGAGUUUUCUCCUCUGACGAUAGCGGCGGACGGGGGAGUAACACGUGGAUAACCUACCUAUAAGACUGGGAUAACUUCGGGAAACCGGUGCCAAUAUCGGAUAAUAUCUUGAACCGCAUGGCUCACUAGUGAAAGACGGUUUUGCUGUCACUUAUAGAUGGACCCGCGCCGCAUUAGCUAGUUGGUAAGGUAACGGCUUACCAAGGCAACGAUGCGUAGCCGACCUGAGAGGGUGAUCGGCCAAACGGGACCGGAGACACGGUCCAGACUCCUACGGGAGGCAGCAGUAGGGAAUCUUCCGCAAUGGGCGGAAGCCUGACGGAGCAACGCCGCGUGAGUGAUGAAGGUCUUCGGAUCGUAAAACUCUGUUAUUGGGGAAGAACAAAUGUGGAAGUAACUAUGCACGUCUUGACGGUACCUAAUCAGAAAGCCACGGCUAACUACGUG
rnacentral:rRNA from 1 species